AGCGAACGCUGGCGGCAGGCCUAAUACAUGCAAGUCGAGCGGUCCUUUCGGGGGCAGCGGCGGACGGGUGAGUAACGCGUGGGAACGUGCCCUUUGGUACGGAACAACUGAGGGAAACUUCAGCUAAUACCGUAUGUGCCCUUCGGGGGAAAGAUUUAUCGCCAUUGGAGCGGCCCGCGUUAGAUUAGCUAGUUGGUGGGGUAAAGGCCUACCAAGGCGACGAUCUAUAGCUGGUCUGAGAGGAUGAUCAACCACACUGGGACUGAGACACGGCCCAGACUCCUACGGGAGGCAGCAGUAGGGAAUCUUGCGCAAUGGGCGAAAGCCUGACGCAGCCAUGCCGCGUGAAUGAUGAAGGUCUUAGGAUUGUAAAAUUCUUUCACCGGGGACGAUAAUGACGGUACCCGGAGAAGAAGCCCCGGCUAACUUCGUGCCAGCAGCCGCGGUAAUACGAAGGGGGCUAGCGUUGCUCGGAAUUACUGGGCGUAAAGGGCGCGUAG
rnacentral:rRNA from 1 species